GAUGAACAGGAAGAUUACCUUUCAUCUAUUUUUGAUCCAAGAACAUGGGAAAUUGUUGACAAUAGCAAAAGGGAUAUUUUAAUUGAGAAGAAACCUGUUAGACAACCAGAUCUUGAGUUCGAGAAGGACACCAUUGGUAGACACUUUUCAUAUGCUUUUUACUCCAGAAAGUUAAGUAAUGGUAAGUUUGUUGACAGAAAGUGGUUAUGUGCUGCAUUGAGAAGGAUAUCUUGGACAAUGUUGAUCCUGAUUGUGCCCUCCAAAGAAACUUUUUCUGAAGCACUAAAGUAUUAUUGUUGUCGAUGGAUUCAGUCGAAUUUGGUUCUUAUUUGA
rnacentral:rRNA from 1 species